CACGUAGGGGACGAGCGUUGUCCGGAUUCAUUGGGCGUAAAGGGCGCGUAGGUGGCGGGGUUAGUCAGGUGUGAAAUCUCGGGGCUCAACCCCGAAACUGCACUUGAUACUGCCUUGCUAGAGUACUGGAGAGGAGAUUGGAAUUUACGGUGUAGCAGUGAAAUGCGUAGAUAUCGUAAGGAAGACCAGUGGCGAAGGCGAAUCUCUGGACAGUUACUGACACUGAGGCUCGAAGGCCAGGGGAGCAAACGGG
rnacentral:rRNA from 1 species